UACGAAGGGGGCUAGCGUUGUUCGGAAUUACUGGGCGUAAAGCGCACGUAGGCGGACUAUUAAGUCAGGGGUGAAAUCCCGGGGCUCAACCCCGGAACUGCCCUUGAUACUGGUAGUCUCGAGUCCGGAAGAGGUGAGUGGAAUUCCGAGUGUAGAGGUGAAAUUCGUAGAUAUUCGGAAGAACACCAGUGGCGAAGGCGGCUCACUGGCCCGUUACCGACGCUCAGGCGCGACAGCGUGGGGGAGCAAACAGGG
rnacentral:rRNA from 1 species